rnacentral:piRNA from 1 species
UUUGAGUCAUUCUAGAUUUUCCUAAAUA